ACCUGGGGGGUGUUUCAUCAACUAAAAUCGAUUUCGAUUUUUAAAAUCAAUUUUAAGGCCGAAUCAGUUUUAGCUUAAAACCGAUACGUGUGAGCUGUUUCAUCAAAUCGAUUUUAAGCUAAAAUAGAUUUUUAGGUGUCUGCAAUCAAGGCUAGUCAAUUUGGGGUAAAUCGAUCACAAAAUGGCCUUGCUUAACUACAGGGAGAGUCCUUGAAAAAGUCGGACUAAAAGAUGGAGUGGACCACAAGUCGUAUCCACCAAAUAGACCUUGGCUUUAGUCCAAGACUCAAAAGUUCUCUUCUGCCGUGUCUCUACAGUCUUGGAUUUCUCAUUCUUCCUUGGCCUCAGGCUCAAGGAAAGGGUUUGGAUAUGCAGAAUGUACUCAAGCUCAAUGUCUAGGUGUACUAUGCUAAGCGGCCUUGUGGAGUGAUCUUCUUACUAGUAAAAUUUGCACACCAAUAAUAAAACAAAGGUUGCAAAAUAAAGAGCUAUGGCAUCUGCAUGUACUGCUAGUUUAUGACAAAUGAACAUUUAUUGUCUAUCUCUUCAAAUUGAAAAGACUGCAGAGCCUGAAUUACCUGCAACGUUAUGCUUCUUAUGAAACAUCAGCCAGCCUACAGAUAGAAGCUCCCUUUUCCAGCUUUAAGCAAGAGGAACCACAAUGAGAUACAGAUCUUGGUAUCAUGGACUGGUCACUUUUUACAACCAACACUACUUGUAAAAUAAGAUUUACAAAUUAAUUCCUAUAAGCUAUUAAAAAUGCUCUAGUCAAGGUACUAAAAUUUUGCCAUCGAGUUUGAGGUUUUGGGUUUGAUAAAAUUUUCACAUAAAAUAUUUUAAAGGAAGUAAACGUUUUAAUGAUACUUCCAAGAUUUCCUAUAUUUUAAACAGAAUUUUAGAAUCUUGCAGAAGAAAAGAGAAGAAAUAAAAAGCUAUUAUUCUGUCAUGGAGGUUAUUGUUACCAAACUCACAUUACAUAGAUAAUUUUGUUCAUGGCAAUAAAUCUUAAAAUAUCAAAUUGGAAUUUCUAAUUAGCAAUUCAUCUGAGCAGCAGUUUGAUGACCUAUUUGGAACUCUUCCUAGAGGCACUUCUUGCAUGACUAUGUAUCGAUAAUUACCUGUUGGUGCUUGAAGUGCUAUUGUAGCAAUUGCACAACAACAAAUACAAAAUAAACAACAGCACAUUGUGAUUGAGUGAAAACAGAUUUUUCCUGCAGGAAAUAUAUUAACUCUGACUUAUGUUGUCCUUAGAAUUUUUUGUCAAAGCUGAUAGAAAAGAAUUGAUGAUCAAUUUCAUAUAGACAAACUAUUGCAUCAAGAAACCACAUUCUCACCGACUGCGUGACCUUACAUGACAAUGUAUAUCAUCCUUAGAUUAACAACCGUAUGAGUAACAGAAAUAUUUGUGACAAGAAUUACUCUUUUAAUCUCCAUAAAGGUAACUCGAAUAGACAGUGGCAGAUAUCAGCUGCAGUAGUUUUAACAACUGGCUGAUACUUUCAUAGGAGCACUUUUAUUUGUGUCAUGUAAAAUAUUGUAAUUGUAUCCCUUGAAUGUGUUUGCUAUGCUCAUCAUUUACAAAAUGUAGAUUUCAUUCAUUAAAGCAUAAACAUAUUGAUUAUACUUUAAAA
rnacentral:lncRNA from 1 species